GAAGUUAAAAACCAAGUGCUGUUAAAAGUUCAAUGAGACUGGUUUCAAGCAGGAGCCUAAAGCAUUGUCUUGCUAUGGUCUGUUGGCUAUUUCAGAACUUAGGAAAUAUAAUGGUCAAUUCAUUAGAAAGAAACAUCU